GUAUAUUUAGUUUAUUAAAAUUUUGAUUUGUGAUAUCAAAGAUCUUUUUGAGGGUAUGCU
rnacentral:tRNA from 1 species